rnacentral:lncRNA from 1 species
UAAACGAGAAGCGCAGCAUCAUUGGAAAGUCUUUUGAAAAUCGUCCCUGGGAUGCAAGAGGAGAAUUCAUCGGUGGUAAUGUUGUUGUACCGUCUUAACUAUUAUCCUUCUCUGGUUUUUCCCAUCCCGUGUCUUUAUGAUUCACCAGUUUUCUAAAUUUUCUAAAUUUUAUUUCCUGAGAAAAAUAGAAACCUCCCUUGGUAUAAUAUUUUGUACUCAAGAUACUGUAUUUGUGUAUUUACGAAGUUUGCUGUUUUGUCAGAAAUUUUGCAAAUUAAACGAGAACAAGAUUAAUUUACAAAGAAAAAAAACUUGAAACUUAAUUAUUAGCAAAUUAAACGUUGAAUGAUAAAUUGAAUUUUAAAAAAAAAAAAAUAUGACUAUGUUAAACUUAUGAUCAGUUUGUGAGGUCAAGAAAACCCUACAUAAAAAAAGCUGAAUAAAACAAUGGUGGUUAACUCUAAAAAAAUGAAAAGCCAAAUUAAAAAAAAAAACAUAAAAAAAAACUCUAAAUUGAUUCGGAUUAACUUAACUAACUUGAUAUCUAAGAUAAGAAUAACUGCGUAAAAAAAAAUUAAAAAAUAAAAAACUUGAAGAUCCAUUAAUUUAAUAUCAAAUGAUGAAAUUAAAAAAAAUCUAAAAAAAAAAAACUAAAGUUAAUUCGGGUUAAUUUUCAAAACUCGUGACUCAAUUCACAAGACUAGUCACCAACAUCAAAUUAAAAGUUUAUCCUAACACGCGCCACUCAUGAAUAGAAAGAGGAGAUUCAAAUGUCAUCUGAAAGUUGGUAUUUGACAUUCGAGCACCGCUUGCUCAACCAAAAAUAAGAGGUCACAACCUGAAUAUUAUUGCGUGUAAUGCAUAUCUCAAUUAUUUUUCUAAUAAUAUUUAUAUUUUUUAUAACAUUAAAUUGUCCCUCGAUUUAUGUGAUUAUAAAAAAAUAUAAAUAACCUCAUGAAAGCAAGUUUGGUAACUAGGUAAUUUAGUAAUUUUAUUGUUUUGAAAAAAGUGAGAAGACUGAAGAAUUUUUGGGCUCUAGUUUAAAAAAUUUUACUUUUGUAUAUAAUUAAGUCAUUUUAAUAUAUUAAAAAAAUAAAAAUAUCGAUUUAACCUCGGUCAAUUUUGAUAGUGCCAAAAGAGCUUAGUGAAAAAACCAUUUUUCCCCGUAAUUAAUCCGUUCAUUGGUUUUUUCCAUGGAGAACAAAAACAUUACAUUUUAGUUAUCCGUGGUAUAAUUAGUCUUGAUCAACAGUAAAACACUAGUGCAUCUUGUUGCAUAAAGGGUUUUUUCACUGCCAUUAAAUGUUCAGAUUUUCAUGCGAUCGUUUUGGUACAUUGACUAAUUGAGGCCGAAAGUCUCAAGCAAUCUGGAGGUAGAUAGCAUCCACGCCUAAUACUUGUAGCAUUGAAGAGUUAUAACUUGCAGGUAUAGUGUUUUAAACUGCAGGGGUGACUUGUCAUUUUUUGAUAUUCACGUAAUGCACAGUAUGGUGUCUUCUAAAACAGGACCACCAAAAUAAAUUCAAUAUUGAUUUCGAUUAAAAAACAUUCUUUAAUGUACAUGAACAAAUAACGCCUCGUACUUUUGUUAUGUAUCAAAUACCAACAGCUUCAGUUUCUAAUUCAAAUGAAAAGAAAAAAAAGUUUUGCUCUACUAAUAAGCUGACUACAAAGUCUUGCACAAUAAUUAUCAACUAUCUGCAUGCUGAAGCAUGAAAAAGUAAAAAAAAGAAGACAGAAAAACUGGGGUGAGGAAUUAACAACAAAUCACAAAAACUCUCCUGAGAUGAUUUUCUCUAAGUAAGUGCAGUGACCAAAAGUUAUUCAACUGUCCAUACACUAGCACACUUACUAUCACAGUCACAAGGGAGUUACGAUAUAAAAAGAAAUUCCCUAUACUCUCUUACGAAGAUCCAAAAAAACAGGAUUGUUAGUAGAGAAGCUGGCCAAUGGGACCCAUUUUUAGUAGAUUCUGGAAUUGCUCUUACAUAAUCCUUAAGGUAAAGCUCCCUUCUGACAGCUUUUGCAGAAGCUCGGGCUGUUGAUCCAUAGGAACAACCUCCUGAAUUUUGUCCAUGAAUCCAGACCAGUCACCCAUACCUAGCUGGAAGAUCAUAACAAUGCAAACACUAUGAGAAUCAAAAACAUCCACAUAAAUUUCAGAGGUCAGAACAACAUCAAAGCAAAGGCGUCAAACUGAAAGAAAGCAGGAGAAUACCUAGAAGGCGACUAACAAAAGGUUUAACUUCAAAGACUUCAAACACAUCCAUAUGCAACUUGACCGAUACUGCUAUCCGUAACAAAUAUAACAAGUUCGGGUUUCUGGAAGACACAAAACGAAAAAGGAAUCAGAUUUUACUGCAAUAACAAUCAACAAUUAAUAAUAAAAACAACGAAGCAUGAAACCAAUAAUAAUUAAAGAAUAACAUACCGUUGCUUCAGAAACUUGACGGAUUUCUUCAAAAAGUGCAGCUUCCUGUUUAUGCAGUCCAUGUGAGUGUUAUUGUGAGUUUAUCUGGUUAAUUCGUAUCAAUUUAAAUUUUUUAUUUUUUAUUAUUUUUUAUUAUGUGAUAUUAUAUUUAGCAGGUUAACUCAAAUUAAUUUUAUUUUUUUAUUUAUUUUAUACAUGGUUAUCAUGGUUUUUUAAUCCAGAUUGCAGAUUUAACAGAUUAAUUUAAUAUAUUAUUUUUUAAAAAAAAAGUGUUUUGAAUGUUUGUAAAUAAAUGAUAUUUUUAUUAGUUAUUUAAAUUAUUUUUAAAUUCAUUGAGAUAAUUAUAUCAUAUUGAAUGAACCUUCCUUCACUGUUUUAAACUCAUUUGUUUUAUACACUGGUCUUCAUGCUGUCUCUGAUGGAUUGAUCUCCUUCUAGUUUGUUGUUCCUGCGUGUAUGAUCUUCUUCUAGGUUCGUCUUCUCCUCGUCGCCUGUUUGUCGAUUCUUAUGAGUUCUUGGAACAUCUUUUAUCCGUGGGAUUAUAGGAGGGUUCGAUAUAUUAAGUCAGCUGAUUUGUCCCUUACCCGCUCGUGUUUCUUUUCAGAAAAAGUCACUCGUACACACAGCUUUUUAUAAAAUACGAAGUCCUAAUCAAUGUAACUACUGCUGCCCUCCGCCGUUCAUUUUUCAAGAGUGUUUUUUUUUUCUUUAUUUUUCUACAUCUAUAUUUGUUUUUCUAUAAUUUUUUACUUCAAUAUUUACUUUAAUAAAAAUUAAAUUUCAUAAUUUAUUAUGAUUUGCUUUAUAAAUAAUUAGGUUAAUCUUAUAACCUGCAUGUAUUAUGAAUUUAUCGGGUUAACUCGAUUGAUUAAAAUUUGUUUUGUGUUUUUCUAAUUGAUAUUUUUUUUUACUUAAAAUCUUCUAUAUUAAGUUGGUUAGAAAUCAAAUUUCAUGAUUUAUUCUAGUAUCAUGACUCAUGGUAUUGGUUUGAUGGGUUUAUCCAGUUGAUUCGAGUUUUUUUAUUUUUUUAAUUGAUUUUUUUUAAUUUCUUUACUCUAGAAAAAUAUUAAAUUAACUUGGGUUAACCUAAAUCAAUUAAGUAUAUUAUUGUUUUGAUAUUAUAUAUUUUUUUAAAAAAUUCUUAAAUAUUUAUGAAUUAAAUAAUAUUUUUACCAAUUCUUCAAAUUAUCUUCAAAUUCAUCCAAUUAAUUACAUCAUGUUGAAUGAACCUCCCCCACAGAAACAUGUUGAUAAUGAUAGCCACCCUAAUCAAUGUAACUAUUGCUGCACUCCAUUUUCGAACUCUGCUGUUGAUUUUUCAGCGUCCACAUUUUCCCUGGUCCCUUUUAGGGGCAAUUAAAGUGUAAUUAAAGUCUAAUAAUCGACUUGGUUUGCAGACUCUUUCCUCGGUAUUGCUUGCAAGAUGAACCGUGGAUCUCUGUUUUCCUUAUCUUCAAUCAACUAAAAUAAUUGAACCCGAAAGCAACGCGGAUUAGAACAUGCCACAACUUUAUUUUGAAAAUAUUUCGCAGGAUUGUGUGUUUUAUAAAUUAAAAAAAAACCAUCUUGUUUUUAAAGGUAUAUUUAAGAUUGUGAUAAUGAUAAUAGUUCAAAAUAUUUUUUAAAUUUUUUUAAAAAAAUAUUAUUUUUUAUAUUAGUAUAUCAAAACGAUUUAAAUAAAUAAAAAAAUUUAAAAUUUAAAAGAACACAUUGUACCGCAUUUUCAAAUACUCCUGAUUACAAACACAAGUCUUGUCUUGUCUUGUGUAGAGAUGAGAAGGGAUAGUUUAUUUUUGCCAUUAAAAAUAUAAAAAAUAUAAUUUUUUUUUAUUUUAAAUUAGUUUUUUUUAGUAAUUUGGGACGUUGGUAUAAAAAAUAAAAUUUAAAAAUAAAAAAAUAUUAUUAUUUUAAUUUAUUUUUAAAUAAAAAAACUUUAAAAAACUAAUAUCUCAGCGGUCUUUUCUAAUAUCCAACACAAAUCUAGCCUACUUGUCUUGUUUCUUUCUUCUUCUUUUUUUGCCAUUUGGUGAUUAAAAUAAUCAGGUCUUCUAGCUAGGUCGUUGAUAACUGACAAGGAGGACCUCAAACGAAAUGCCGUGUGUUUGCUCUGUCAACUGAAGUCUCCUUGAGAACUUCCACAGAAGUCUCCUCACGCAUGCUCUAACCUAACCCAUGCACUCCUAUAUAAACAGCAAGAACUGCCUCCCAGAUUUCCAUCUUCAAACAACUUGAGCAUUACUUUACUCCCUCCUCUGUUUCUUCAAAACCUCCCCAAAAGACCAAAACCCUCACUUUUGGUGUCUCCUGGACUGUAAAGAGCUCCUUAUUCAUAUCACCAUCUUUCCAACAACCAAGACCAUGAAGGUACGUAUGGUUUUGUGAUCAGAACACAAGUGUAUUACUAGCUUGUUCGUGAAGAUAUUAUGUGUGUUACUUUCAUGUUAUUGAUUAAUUGUGCUAAACUAUUGCAGCAAAAGAUAGUGAUCAUCAGGUGACGGGGAAGGGAGCGAAGUCCGGCACCAAAGCCCUGCAGAUUGCAGCUGGGCUUUCAGGUACUGAACAAAACCUUCCAUGCACACAAGUUUUAGAAUCGGAAUACCUAAUAGAAACCAUGCAUCUGUGGGCAAAUUCAGAUGAUCAAGUUGUUGACGGGUUUAUACAUCUUUUUGUGAUUCUGCAGGUGUUGAAUCUGCUGGUAUAGGAGGGCAGGAUAAGAGCCAGAUAGAGGUGGUAGGCGAUGGAGUCGAUGCAGUACAACUUACAAAUUUGCUGAGAAAGAAAGUAGGCUACGCAGAGCUAGCAAGUGUACAAGCUGUGGGAGAAAAGAAAGAAGAGCCAGCAGUGCAGCCGGUUGCUUGGUCCGUGUAUGGUGGAAGCAUGCCUGAGACCUUUAUUUAUCCGAUUCACCCCCAUCAGGACCCUUGUUGCUCCAUCAUGUAGUUACCAAACAGGCUAGCCAGAAGCAGAGAGAGAGAGAGACUGAAGAGGAGUCUGUUUAUUUAUAUAUAUUGUAGAACAUGUUGGGCCGCUGCUGUUCCAUGUCUGAAAGGGGGGGGGAUGGUGAGGGAAACUGGGAUCACAUAUGGACGUGCCACGUGUAAACAAGCUUCUUUGCCUGUAUCAACUUUUCAUUUAACAGGAGUGACAAAUCUGGAUGUUGGGUCAUGGGUGAACAAAAAACAUGGUGAUUCAGUCGUUAUUCAACACAAUAAUAUCAACUUUUGAACCAACUCGAGCACCAUAUUGGCGCAUCUUCUCUCUUUUUUCUUUUUUCUUUUUGUAUCAAAGGCAAAUCCUGUCCAGUGAACAAUUAACAAUUAUUAACUAAAACAAAACUCUAAACGGUAUGGAAAAAUACUACGUGGAUACUGUAGAUAAAGGGGUGUUUUAGAAUAUGUAAAUAAAUUGUUUUAUUUUCUAAAAAAAAAUUAAAAUAUUAUUUUUAUUUUAAAAAAAUUAUUUUUAAUAUUAAUAUAUCAAAAUAAUUUAAAAAUAAAUUAAAAUUCAUAACUUGUGAAAUCACGGUUCAGGAAAGACAAAUGAUGGCUAAGACUCCGUUAACUGUAGAAUAUAUAGCACUAUAAGUGCUUGUUUUAGAGUGUAGUUGUGAUUGUUUUUUAAAUAAGUACUUGUUUUAGAAUGUAGUUGUGAUUGUUUUUUAAAAUAUAUUUUACUUAGAAUUAUAUCAAAAUAAUAUUUUUUAUUUUUAAAAAAUUAUUUUUUAUAUAAGCGUAUCAAAAAAUAUCAAAAAAAAUAUUAAUUUAAUAUAAAAAAAAUUAAAAAAUUUUAAAUUUUUUUAAAAAUAUUUUUAAAACGCAAAAACAAAUAGAUUUAUAUCUAGAUACCUCAUCUUUCCAAGGUUGUGGAAUGAUUCUAAUUUUUUUGAGAACCGUGAUAUAAAUUGUGUUUUUUUUUUUUUAUUAAAAAUUAAUUUUUUUAAUAUUUAUAUAUUAUUUUAAAAUAAUGAUAUUAAAAAUAUUUUUUUAAACAAAAAUUUUAAUAUAUUUUUAAUAAAAAAUACUUUAAACAAAAAUAAUUGAUACCAUUUCAAUCAAUCCAGCGUUCAGUGUGGUUCAGUCAAUUAAUGGUGCGGCUUUCCAUUGCUCUCAUCGCGCCUUGGGUUGUUGGCGCAUUUUAUUCCGGUCUUGUCUGUUGCCUCAGAGAAAACGACCCGGGGUCAUGAUCAUGCAUUGAAUGCAAUGCCCACUUGGCUGGGCCCUUCGCUCUUUAACGUUGGAAGAGGUGCUGAUUAUUGGGUUUGAUUGGACGUGUACUUGAUCUACACUGUUGACUGGGGAAUUCCAGUUCCAGGUCUCUUCUCUCUUUUUUUGUGCUCACAAGCUGUUUGGUCGAUGACAAGUUUGUGAUUUUCAACACUCUUCUGGUUUGGUUAGUUUUUUUUGCUCAUUUUAGUUGGCCUUUACUUGCCCUUCUAUCAUUUCAGGUUCUGUUUGAUUUGUUUUUAUUUGUUAUAUCAUGCUAGUGCUGUCCUAGGGCUUCCCAUGCUUUCACAUCCCCUUUUUUUAUGUUUUUGGGCUUGGGUCGCGUCGGUAGGUUCAUUUGCUUCUCCUUUUUAUUUUCUUUCAUGCCUCCCUCUUAGGUCUGGCUCGUUGUUUUUUCUGUUCAUUCUAUUUCUGUCAUUGUUUGUUCCUGCUGGUGCUUAUUUUUGCCCAUUUUUUGUUGCUUUCUUUUCGUUAUCUUUUGUUUCCUUGUUCUUUUAUGCUGGUUUCUUUGAGACCAUCUUGCUGUUUCUUAAAUGGAUUUGAUUGGAUAUGUAUGCAGGUUUGUGUGGUCUUCAUGCUGUCUCUGACGGACUGAUCUCCUUCUCGUUUACUGUUCCUGCGUGUCUGAUCUCCUUAUAGGUUCGUCUUCUCCUCGUCGCCUGUUCUUAUGAGUUCUUGGAACAUCCUUUAUCCGUGGGAUUAUGGGUGUUUAUUGAUUGCUGCUUUGAGGACAGUGCAUCCUUAUCAGGAUUUUUACGGUGUGAGUUGCGGUUGGUAUUACUGUAACUAUUAUAGAGUGUUAUUUAAAAAAAAAUAUUUUUAGUUAAAAUUAACUUGGAAAAAUAUAUAUUUAGUUAAAAUUAUAAUUGAAAUAAAGAUUAAACAAAAAAUAAUUUAAUAUAUUUGUUUAAAAAUAUUUUUGAAAUUGAGGUUAUAAAAUAAAUUUAAAAAAUAUAUAUUAAUAUUAAUUUUUAAUUUAAAUAUUGUUGAUUUUACUAUUACUAUUACAUCAUGAAAUAAAUAAUAUUUUAUAUAAAAUAUUUUUUAUUAUUUCAUUAAACUAUUUACAAUUCCAUCACAUAUGAAAUACAUCCGACAAUGACUACAGUUUUCGCAAAUUUAUAAAGAGCGUAAUAACAUUAGGUAAAAUAUAAUUAAGAACAAAAUUUAAAUUGCAAUCAAAUUUUGUAAAUGCUACGUUAUUAAGUGAUCUUCAUUUAAUUUAUAUAGUGUCAUUGAAUAAUAUUUAACGCUAAUUUUUUAAAUAAAACAUAAUUAAAAAUAAAAAAAAUUAUUUUGUUGGGUUAAACCCGAUUUAAUGCAUUUUUAACUUUAAACUAGAUUGGUACGGCCGGAAUAAUAAAAAUAUGCUUCAUUGUUCAUUAAAAAAAACCAUGAACAAUGAAGCCAGCUUUAUUGUUGAUGGGUUUUUUCAGCACAAGAAGAAUCAAAUCAUAUCAUUGUUUCUAGUAAGCAUGUGGCACAGUCACAAUUGACAGUGGUCCUACCAGUAACAAAAUGAUUUUAGAGUAUUAUCAAAUAACAAUAUUUGUGACUGCUACAAUACUAAAUAACACUUUAGUGAUAAUAAGGUAAGGUCAAGUUAUGAAUAAUUUAAUAUUUUAAUAAUUAUAAAAAGUUAUUUUUUAUUUUUUUAAAAAAAUAUUUAACACGUGUUUGUAAGCUAUAGGCCUCUAAUGGCGCAUGCAGAGUUGUACAGGGUGCACAAUUAAUAAUAUUUUUCAACGAUUUUAGCAUGCCACUUCUCCCACGCGUCUUAUAUUUCAAGUUAGUGGUUCAACAAAUUAUCAUAAAGCAGAAAGUCAAGAUUGCAAUAAAAUAACACAUUUAAGGUUUAAUAUUAUAAUUGUUAAACUUUAUGUGCCAAAUUGGAAAAAUCUAUAAAUUAAAUGACUAAUUGUUUCUUAUGUGAUUUAUUUUCUUAAAAAAAGUCUUGGAUUUGUGAAGGCAAUGAAACAUUCAAUACCUCGCAUUCAAUUUCUAUAUUUACAGUUUUACACGACUUGUAAUUAAAUAUUAGAUUUAUUUAUAACUAUAUUAAAAUAAUAUUUUUUAAAUUUUAUUUUUAAUAUUAAUGUAUUAAAAUAAUUAAAAUUAAUUUAAAAAUAAUUUAAAAUUUUAUGAAAUGAUGGUGUCUGCCCCCACAUAUGCACACUGAAUGUCUUUGCUUGCAUUUAUUUUUCCAGUUAAAUAUUCUUAAGUAUCUAUCCAACAAUAUUUUAAAUUAUUAGCUAACGUGUGUGUUAGUCAAGUAAGCAGCAGCAGCAAAAUCGGUUGAUUCUAGAGCAUUUAAAAAUUUUAAAAAUUAAAAAAAAUUAAAAAAAUUAUUGAAUUUAAAUUAAUAUAUUUUUAAUAUUUUUAAAUCAUUUUAAUAUAUUGAUGUUAAAAAUAAUUUUUUUAAAAUAAAAAUAUUAUUAACAUGUAUUUUGACACGAAAAGUUAUUUAAAAAAUAAAAACAACUAUAUUUCUAAACAAUCUAAUUCAUUUUUUUUUUCUUUUCUUUUCUUCUAAAUAAAAAAGUCACUUGAUAAAAAAAAAAUUGAUGCCUUCCUGUUUUUUUAAGUUUCUAAUUUACUUCCCUUGUUUUUUAUCAUUGCAUGUUUGUCAUCUUGAUUUCUUUUGAAAUCUUUAAAUUUGUUUUUUAUUUUUAUUUUAUUUUUAUUUCAGAUUUAAUCUCUUUUUUAUUUUUAUUUUUAUUUUGUUUUGAUACAUUUUAUAAAAUGUAAGAUUUAUGUCAGCUUUAUUAUUUUAACCCAAUUAGAGAAAAAUAUGACUCUCGAUUCCUAACAAAAUGUAAGAUUUGUGUUGAAAUGUUUCGAAGGAAAGCUGCCUGCCCUCACAAAAUAGAUGAACAGUCCUUCAAGAGAUUUACACAGAUUCCUAGAACUGAUAGCUGUGUAGAAAGUUUGCAAGCAGACCACGCCAAAACAAAGCUUGCGGUGUGGAUGUCAAAAUCAAUUCUUGCCGAGGAAGAUUUCAAGGAUACACCUGAAACACUGCUCCUAAUUCUCCCUGGUAAGGCGAGGAAAAAAGACAGUUCAAGAAAUUUGUUGAUGAUGGGAGUGUUUGAGUGGAUGUUUACCGUUCUGUUUUAAAGUGGUUUUUAUUUAUAAAUAUAUUAAAAUAAUAUUUUUUUUAAUUUUAAAAAAAUAUUUUUAAUAUUAGUAUACCAAAAUAAUCUAAAAAAUGCUAUAUAUAUAUAUAUAUAUUAAUUUAAAGUAAAGAAAAAAAAUUAAAAAUAUCAUUUUAAAAAAAAAUACUUUUAAAACGUAUAAACAAACAAGGUCUUUAAUAGUACAAGCCUUAUCAGAUCUAACUCGGGGAUUGAUCCAGCCAAGAAUACAGGUCUCGGGUUACACGGAUUGAUCCGAGUCAACCUGAAUAAACCCGAAAUUUUUUUAAAAUUUCAUGUGAAAAAAAUUAAAAAAUAAUCCAUGUGAAUAUAGAUUAUACAUGUUAUAUACAAUGAAAUUUAAAAUAUUAUUUUAAAAGAUUUUUUAUCGCACAUUGAAAAAAUACUAAUGUUAUCUUUUCAAGUUAAAGUAUUUAAACUAAAAAGAUUUUUUAUCCUACAUUAAAAAAAAUAACUUUUUUUUUAUGAAUAUAAAAUAUAUAUAUUAAAGAGUUUCAAAUCUUAUAUUAAAAAAAUAAAAUAUUCAUCUAAUAUUUAUAUAAUAAACUUUAAAAAAUAUUAAUAACUAACCAUAUAUAUAUAUAUAUAUAAUAAAAGAUUGGUCUUUAGUUAUGAGAAAAAAAAUAUUUAUAAAAAAACAAUCAGUUUUUUUUUUUAUCACUCAAAUCAUGAAUCAAUCAAUUUUUUAUCUAUCUUAAUUUUUCAUUUCAUUCAGACCGAUUCAACCAUUAAAAUUUAGAUCAAUCCAACAAUUAAUUCGGAUAUAGUAACUAUAAUUCAGCCAGUGUCCGGGGACUAUUUCAUAUUUGACUUGAUGCCCUGCGACCUAUUGAAUGAUGCCUUUGAUGCCUGUAUUUUUUAAAAAAAUAUUAAAUUAAUAAAUUUUUUAUAUAUAAUUUUAAUAUAUAUAUAUAUAUAAAUAAUUUGAAAAAUAUUUUAAUUUAUUUUUAAGUGAAAAAUAUUUUUUAUAUAUAUUGUAUUUGUAAAUAUUUAAAGUUGAUAAAUAAUACUUAUUUAAAUUUUAUUGUUAUUGACCAGUAAGGACUUUAGCAUACUAUAAAUAUUUUAAUAAAUAUAUUUUAUUUAUAUUAAGUAAUUUAUAGCCCUUUUCACUGGAAUUGAUAGAAACAAAAGAGGUGUUAUCUACUAAUUUUUUUUAAAAAAAUAGGAUGGUUCAUCCCUGUAUUUAAAAAUAUAUUAAUAAAAAACAAAAUAAAUUUGGAUGUGCGGGCUGGGUUAAAAAGCCCACGUGUCUAGAUUAUUUUUGUUUUAAUGCUUGGGCCCAAGUAACUUGGGUUUUUUUUUUUUAUUUUAUGUUUUGUUUUUCAAAAAAAUGACAAAUCAAAUCGUUGAACUGAUUGAUUUUAUUAUUUGAUAAUGGGUUUAACAUGUUAAUCCAUGAUUUUGAAUUAUUAUUUGUUUUUUUUAUUUAAUACCUUAUUUGUCAAUGAUUGUUUUUUUUUUCAAAUAUAAUUUAUUUUUCAUUAUUUUUUUUAUUUAAUUAAAACCUAAAAAAUACAAUUUUACUAUUUGCUAUCAAUACCUUUGUUAUCUCGGCUCGAGGUGCAUAUUACCUUUUUUUUUUUUUUUUUUAGAAAAUAUGUUGUUUGGUACAAAAAAAAUCAUGUGUUUUACUAUUGUAUUAUUAAAUAUAAAAUAAUUUUUGGGAUAAAAAUUUACUGAAAUUAAUAAUGUAUAUGACUUACAUGGUGAGUUUACUUAGUUUUUUUUAUAAUAAAUUUUUGUUAUUGAUUUUGUUAUUUAAUAUUAAAUUAAUUAAUGAUUGAGUUAUUUCCUUUUUUUCAAUAUUAUUUUUAUAAAUUUCACAGAUUAGCCUAUGUUAUUCUAGAUAAACCAAAUGUUUUUUCUUCUUGAUAUUAUAUAAAAAUAUUAUUUAAUUUAUAAUUAAAAUCUAUAUGUUUUCAGAAGACACAUCACUAAUGUUUUUUUUAACACUUUUUUUUCCCUCACUUGUGCUUUAUCACGGCCAAUAGACUAGUAAAUUCUAUACAAUCAAUAAAUUCAAUAAUCAAUUUUUUUUAAAAAAAUAAAAUAUAUUUUUGUUAUUUUUAGCAUAUAUGAUAAAAUCAUGCCUAUUUAUUUAUAGAUUUAGAGUAAAACAAAAAUGACAGCAAGUAAGAGAAAGAAACAUCGAUUUCGAUGCCUAAAAAAAGGUGCAGAAUAAAUAAAUGGAGUAGAGUACUUGCCAAGGACAGCAUGUGAUGUUAGAAUACAGUAAACAUCAGAAACUAAGCACUUUUGUCGAAGAAAAUGGUGAGCUCAUGUGUGAAGAGUUUCAGUGAAAGCUUCACUUCAAUGGACUGCUGUUCUUCUUUGCUAACUGCGCGCUUAUCUUCUUCACUAAUAAAACCUCAAUUAUUAACCAGCAGCUUAAUCUCUGGUAGCAUCACCACUAAUUUCGCAAGCAAGAAGUGGAAACCUCAUCGUGUCUUGAAAGUCUCUGCAGGUUCUUUUUCUUACCACAAGUUCAUUCAUUUUGCUCUCGACGAAACCAAACGACACGCCCUUUCGGUCCCUUCUCCUCUCCAGGUAUUACUUCACUUUCUUGCUUGCCGUGUUUAUGGAUUCCAUUGCCUGGAAGCAGAAAUGGGUUGCCUUUGAAUUGAGCCCUUCUCCUCAGUUUUUUUUUUAAAAUCCUCAGUUUUGGGUUUCAGAGGGUUGAAAAUGAAGCUGGGUUUUGGCUUUUGAAUUAUAUAGGAGCUUUUGGCAACUUUUUUGGUCUGUAACUUGGGAAUUGAGGUGACUGAUCCAUGGAAAUGUUUCUGUGAUUUGUCAUGGUUUGGGCCAUUUGAUCCUUCAAAGUCUAUGUUAAUCCUUUUUGAUAUGGAUAAUCUUCUUAUCGUUCUUACGCCGUACUUUUUAGUAAGAUUGCGUUUUCGUCGUUUCGUUUGUUCGGUCUCCAAGGGCCUAGACACUCUUCCUUUUCUUUUAUUUUUUUACUUUUAAACUUAAUUCCUCUUUUAUUUUAUGCAUCUGCGAAUUUUGUUUAAAAAACGCGAGGUAAACUUGAGCAAGGGAUGGAACGUCUUUCUUCAGCAACUUUUAGCAGAGUGGAUGCUUCAUAUCUAAGCCAAAAGAUUCCGUUUUGAUUUGCUUGCAUAUUUUGGCUAUUGUACUCGUUGUUGGUCGUUGUGCAAAUAUGGACUUUGAUGGUUGUAAAGUUGAAAAUAGUUUCUCAUUCGCUUUCCAAUUUGCCAUCAAGGGUUAUACAGCAUCAGGACACCAGUACAGACUCGAUUACCCUAGAGUCAAGAACCCUUUGUUAUUUCAGUACUAUGUUUCAAAUGACUGUGCCUCCUAGCUUCUGCAGAAAGAAAAACAUGUGGUCGUUCUGUUAUUCAUUGCUCAUUGCAAACGGAAUUUCAACAAAAUAAAACAAAUUCUUUGUGCUUCUAUGAAACGAACUCUUUGGCAGCUGAAAAACAAUCAAUUAUUUUAAAUGUUAUUUCAUGAUUACAUACAUGGAUCACAAGAACAACUUUUUUGAGUCUAGGAAAAAUAUAGUUCCAUGACUGCGAUGGAUGGAACAACAGAGCUUCAAAUGCUUUCAUUCCAAGCUCCCAAAAUCAGACUCCUACGUAGUUUGAGCAUUGAAAAUGAAGCAAUGCAGGUACCAUUCUCUAGCAAGCUUGUUGCUUUUAUGUACUUUUGCACCCUCAAGUGUUAGAGGGAAAAACUCAUGAGUGCAUCAUGUUAAUUUGAGUUCUUUGUUGCGAUUAUACAUUUUACAGCUAAGUUACUGAUUGCCAUUAUUUGGACUUUCUUUGUGUUCAUUUGUCUGCCAGCAUAAAAAGUGUCUCCUGUACUUGGCAUUAAUUAUCCUUGGCAUGUGUGUUGUUAUUAUAGCUUAAGAAAAUUAUUGAGAUUUUUUGGAAUGCUACUCAUAUUUAUUUAGCUUUAUUCUUCACAAGGCUCAUGGCAGCAUGAGUGCAAUAUGCUCUUAUCCUAUUCAUGUUAAAUUCGUAUCCUCCUGUGCAAAAGGUAUGCAGCACGGUUAUAUACACGUUAUCUAGUACCAGAAGAAGUUCUCUUUGGCUUGAUAGAGGCGUAGAACGUUUUUGUUUCCCUCUGUAAUAACUGACAUCUGAAAAUUUAUGCAGAUUUUAGAUUUUGCUGUUUUUGCAAGACCUGAAUUUGAUGUACCCAUAUUUUGUGCCAACUUUUUCUCCACUGCCACCAUAAACAUCAUUGUGUUGUAAGCUCCCUCCUCUUCCCUUCUCUGUGCUUUUCUAAGCCCUGUUUUAUUCCUUGUAUGGAAAAUUGUUUCUGCUUCUGUUUGGAUUUUUGUUUGCUUGUUCAGCUUCCUAUUUUCAUUCUAUUUCUUAGAAUUUCUCUUGAAAAUUUAUAUGCGCAAAUCUGAUAUGGAAUAAGAAAAGGAAAUGAAGCUCAUCAUUGGAGAUUUAGUGCUCCCUACUGUUUCAGGGACGAUACCGCUUUCUUGUUUGAUUUGCAUGCAUGCCUUCUUUUGUUGGUUUGUUUCAACCAGGAACAAUCGUUUGUCCUUUUUUUUGGCAUCAAACUUGAGAUUUUAUUCCUAUAAGCUGGAAUUAAUUGCUGACGUGCUAAGGUUUCUGGAACUUUUAACCCAUUGUAGGGACCUCAACCCCUUGCACAAUGUCAUUGACCAAAGAGACUACAAGGAAAAGUACUUUAAAAGAUUAAUUCCUUUAGGCCUCAAGUAUAGCAAGGUAACUUCAAUGCCUCUCGUGGAACAUUAAACACAAUGGUAUUUGUUAUUUGUUUCUUGAUCCAGUCUAAAAUUAAUGGUAUGGUGACUGAACACAGAUUUCAUGCAGCUUUUUCCUUGGGGAGGAAAGCUCACGAGCGAGUCCUUGAAGUUUUUCUCACCGAUCGUGAUAUGGACCAAGUUUCCUCCAAGUCAGGAUAGUUAUGAUGCUUUAUAUUCUGCUUUACAUUUAAGCUAAUAUGCUAAUGAUGAGAUAUAAAUUAUAAACUGGAAACGGGAUGAGAAUCCACAUGGAUUUAGUAGUUCAAAUGUCAAAUAAAAUGUAGAAUUCCAAUUUUAGCUGCUCAUUUAUCAUCCUCCUCUUCUCUUUUAGGCAUGGCUUGAACUGAUUGACCAAGCACCAGAGGAGAUAGAUGCAUCUCAUAUUACAUGCAAUCGUGAAGCACAACAUAAGUAUCUAACGUGGAGAGAAGAAAAGGUGAUUAUUUAAUGUCCUUUUCCCCUUUUGAUCUCAUCUUCAUGUGGCCCAUCAUAUCUGCCAGUCUCUUCUCAUUGGCUGUAGGACUUAAAAAAGCUUAGAUGCUUGGAAGUAAUCAUGGCAUGUCUUCAAUUUUCUACUUUUCUUCGUUUGAAAAUGUUUCAAGUAAGUUCUGUGACUGUAAUUUGAGUGCCAAAGAGCUGGGCCGUGAUAAGCUUUUUUAAGCCCUUGCAUUUUAGCUUUAGAGAUUAGAAAUGGUCAUUUGAAUACUAAAAAAUAAAGGGUCCUAAUUGAGCGAAAUUGCCAUCUCUAGACUAACUGUAUGAGAAAUUUGGUUCCUUGAAGUAAAAUAAAGACAGAAAAAUGCUUGUUUUCUAUAUUAUUUUAAUUAAGUUCGUGAUUCAUUUGGAAUAAAAUGAAUAAAAAAAUGAAACAGAUGCUUUCUGCCGCAAAAAGUUGUCCGAGCAACUAACAUCUUGAAGAGGGAUUUUAGCUUCAAGGCAGGAUGAACUCCAAUUGGUUGCCCAGUUUUAGGAAAGAAAACGCCUGAAAAGUACCUAAACUUGUUAGCAUUAAGGCCCAAUCCAAACCCGUGCUCUUUCUCGGACUCUCAGAACUGACUAGGCAUAUUGGUACCUUCAGAUAGAUGUAUCAUUUAUGUAGUACUGUAAUUCCAUAAUUACAGUAUUUAAGCAGAUAGAUUCUUGGCACAGUUUCAAACUUCUCUCUUUUCUGGUCCAACUGUUUGGCUAAUGCAAAUUCUGGAAGCAGGAUCCUGGCCAUGGAAUUCUUAAAAGGUUGAUUGGAGAAAGGCUUGCAAAGGUAUAAUCACUCUCAACAAAUCUUCUUACAUUGUUUGCCACCAAUACUGAUGCAAUUCUCACUUCACAUCUAAUCCGUAGGACUUGGUUAGAAACUUCCUCUUCAAUGGACUUGAUGAACUAGGCAGUAAAGGAUUUUUGGAUUACUUUCCAGAAUAUCGCCGCGAGGAUGGUUCUAUAAACGAGAAGCGCAGCAUCAUUGGAAAGUCUUUUGAAAAUCGUCCCUGGGAUGCAAGAGGAGAAUUCAUCGGUGGUAAUGGUGUCGUACCGUCUUAACUUUUAUCGUUCUCUGGUUUUUCUCAUCCCUUGUCCUUAUGAUUCACCAGUUCUCUAAAUUUUGGAAAUUUUGUUUCCUGAGAAAAAUAGAAACCUCCCUUGGUAUCAUAUUUUUUACUCAAGAUACUGUAUUUGUGUAUUUACGAAGUUUGCUGUUUUGUCA